rnacentral:rRNA from 1 species
UACGAAGGGGGCUAGCGUUGCUCGGAAUCACUGGGCGGAAAGCGCACGUAGGCGGAUUGCUAAGUCAGGGGUGAAAUCCUGGAGCUCAACUCCAGAACUGCCUUUGAUACUGGCGACCUUGAGUCCGGGAGAGGUGAGUGGAACUGCGAGUGUAGAGGUGAAAUUCGUAGAUAUUCGCAAGAACACCAGUGGCGAAGGCGGCUCACUGGCCCGGUACUGACGCUGAGGUGCGAAAGCGUGGGGAGCAAACAGG